AUUUUUUGUUUUUUUUUCGUUCUUUUUUUAAUUUAAAAAGGUUAAAAAAAAUA
rnacentral:ribozyme from 16 species